GCGCGACACGAUCGACGCUAACCUCUUGCCACUACGUUUCGUUCGUAGUUAAUAGUGAGUGGAAGUUCGACUGGAAAUCGAUUGUAAUUAUUUCAAAGUGAAGAAAAAAGACGAUUCAUAUUUAUUGCGUGUUCGAUUUAUAUUUAUUGCGUAAAUGUUUUAACAUUGGUGACAAGAAAUCGGAAUUUUCUUCCGGCUGAAAAGGACGGAAUUGCAAUCCUGCGACUGACGAUGGUACAACAAGGAGCAGCCAUUGUGGCAGCGUAAAAAAAACGGUGGCCAUCGUUGUCGCGAAGAUAUGUCCGUCUUACAGCCCAUAGUAGCACUCGUGGGUAAAGGCAAUACGGUUCCUGGCGGAGCAAUACAAGGGGCAAGCAGCGGGGAUGCGAUGCGAGUAUUCCCAGAUGGCACAAAGACGUCUUUAAAACGUCUUGAAGACGUCUGCAGUAGGACAUUCGGGCGUAUGAAGCUCAAACCUAAACUGGACGUAAAAUGGACGUCUUUAAGACGUUCAGUGUUUAUUGAGUCAAAUAACUGUGAUAACAAUUGCUAAAUAUAAAUAUAUAUGUACAAUAAACAAAUGUGCACAAUUUUAAACGGUAAAUAAAACGGUAAUAAUUAAUACUAAUUUCGAUAA